rnacentral:siRNA from 1 species
UGAUCUCAUAAAUAACUGCCU